rnacentral:rRNA from 1 species
GGGGGGUGGCUAUACUGCAGUCGAACGCUUCUUUCCUCCCGAGUGCUUGCACUCAAUUGGAAAGAGGAGUGGCGGACGGGUGAGUAACACGUGGGUAACCUACCCAUCAGAGGGGGAUAACACUUGGAAACAGGUGCUAAUACCGCAUAACAGUUUAUGCCGCAUGGCAUAAGAGUGAAAGGCGCUUUCGGGUGUCGCUGAUGGAUGGACCCGCGGUGCAUUAGCUAGUUGGUGAGGUAACGGCUCACCAAGGCCACGAUGCAUAGCCGACCUGAGAGGGUGAUCGGCCACACUGGGACUGAGACACGGCCCAGACUCCUACGGGAGGCAGCAGUAGGGAAUCUUCGGCAAUGGACGAAAGUCUGACCGAGCAACGCCGCGUGAGUGAAGAAGGUUUUCGGAUCGUAAAACUCUGUUGUUAGAGAAGAACAAGGACGUUAGUAACUGAACGUCCCCUGACGGUAUCUAACCAGAAAGCCACGGCUAACUACGUGCCAGCAGCCGCGGUAAUACGUAGGUGGCAAGCGUUGUCCGGAUUUAUUGGGCGUAAAGCGAGCGCAGGCGGUUUCUUAAGUCUGAUGUGAAAGCCCCCGGCUCAACCGGGGAGGGUCAUUGGAAACUGGGAGACUUGAGUGCAGAAGAGGAGAGUGGAAUUCCAUGUGUAGCGGUGAAAUGCGUAGAUAUAUGGAGGAACACCAGUGGCGAAGGCGGCUCUCUGGUCUGUAACUGACGCUGAGGCUCGAAAGCGUGGGGAGCAAACAGGAUUAGAUACCCUGGUAGUCCACGCCGUAAACGAUGAGUGCUAAGUGUUGGAGGGUUUCCGCCCUUCAGUGCUGCAGCAAACGCAUUAAGCACUCCGCCUGGGGAGUACGACCGCAAGGUUGAAACUCAAAGGAAUUGACGGGGGCCCGCACAAGCGGUGGAGCAUGUGGUUAAUUCGAGCAACGCGAAGACC